rnacentral:rRNA from 1 species
UUAUACAGCGAAACUGCGAAUGGCUCAUUAUAUAAGUUAUCGUUUAUUUGAUAGUACCUUACUACUUGGAUAACCGUGGUAAUUCUAGAGCUAAUACAUGCUGAAAAUCCCGACUUCGGAAGGGAUGUAUUUAUUAGAUUAAAAACCAAUGCCCUCUGGGCUCUCUGGUGAUUCAUAAUAACUUCUCGAAUCGCAUGGCCUUGCGCCGGCGAUGGUUCAUUCAAAUUUCUUCCCUAUCAACUUUCGAUGUUUGGGUAGUGGCCAAACAUGGUUGCAACGGGUAACGGAGGGUUAGGGCUCGACCCCGGAGAAGGAGCCUGAGAAACGGCUACUACAUCCAAGGAAGGCAGCAGGCGCGCAAAUUACCCAAUCCCGAUUCGGGGAGGUAGUGACAAUAAAUACUGAUACAGGGCUCUUUUGGGUCUUGUAAUUGGAAUGAGUACAAUUUAAAUCCCUUAACGAGGAACAAUUGGAGGGCAAGUCUGGUGCCAGCAGCCGCGGUAAUUCCAGCUCCAAUAGCGUAUAUUAAAGUUGUUGUGGUUAAAAAGCUCGUAGUUGAACCUUGGGCCUGGCUGGCCGGUCCGCCUCACCGCGUGUACUGGUCCGGCCGGGUCUUUCCCUCUGUGGAACCCCAUGCCCUUCACUGGGUGUGGCGGGGAAACAGGACUUUUACUUUGAAAAAAUUAGAGUGCUCCAGGCAGGCCUAUGCUCGAAUACAUUAGCAUGGAAUAAUGAAAUAGGACGUGCGGUUCUAUUUUGUUGGUUUCUAGGACCGCCGUAAUGAUUAAUAGGGACAGUCGGGGGCAUCAGUAUUCAAUUGUCAGAGGUGAAAUUCUUGGAUUUAUUGAAGACUAACUACUGCGAAAGCAUUUGCCAAGGAUGUUUUCAUUAAUCAGGAACGAAAGUUAGGGGAUCGAAGACGAUCAGAUACCGUCGUAGUCUUAACCAUAAACUAUGCCGACUAGGGAUCGGACGAUGUUAUUUUUUGACUCGUUCGGCACCUUACGAGAAAUCAAAGUGC